AGCUGCUGUUGCAGGUUAUUUCACUUUUUAAGUUUAAAGAAUCCUGAGGAUCCACUCUUUUUGAUGACCUCUCUUUCCCCUUUUUGUCCUUUUACCAGUUGCCACCCCUUACCACGUUCACACAGAAAUAAUUCAUCUUAACAAAAAUUCAGUUCCUCUUGCUGAAUAUGAUUGCCCUUAUGAUAAAUACAGAAGCGGGGUGCAGGCAGAUUCAAGACCUGGAGCUCUCGUCUGUGGAGGUGGAUCCCUGUGGAGACGCUCAGGCUGCUGCGGAGGGAGCGGUGCUCGGUCUCUAUGAAUACGAUGACCUAAAGCAAAAAAAGAAGAUGGCCGUGUCGGCGAAGCUCUAUGGAAGUGGGGAUCAGGAGGCCUGGCAGAAAGGAGUCCUGUUUGCUUCUGGGCAGAACUUGGCACGCCAAUUGAUGGAGACGCCAG
rnacentral:sRNA from 1 species